GUGCUGAUUUUGGCAGUACAUACACUAAAAUUAGAAUGAUACAGAGAAGAUUAGCAUGGCCCCGAUGCAAAAAUGACACAAUUGGGGCCGAAGUGGUGGUGCAAGCUGUA